rnacentral:rRNA from 2 species
GGCGGGCCGAGGGAUGGAUGUCGAAGUCUGACGGAGCACGCCGCGUGAGUGAUGAAGGCUUUCGGGUCGUAAAACUCUGUUGUUAGGGAAGAACAAGUGCUAGUUGAAUAAGCUGGCACCUUGACGGUACCUAACCAGAAAGCCACGGCUAACUACGUGCCAGCAGCCGCGGUAAUACGUAGGUGGCAAGCGUUAUCCGGAAUUAUUGGGCGUAAAGCGCGCGCAGGUGGUUUCUUAAGUCUGAUGUGAAAGCCCACGGCUCAACCGUGGAGGGUCAUUGGAAACUGGGAGACUUGAGUGCAGAAGAGGAAAGUGGAAUUCCAUGUGUAGCGGUGAAAUGCGUAGAGAUAUGGAGGAACACCAGUGGCGAAGGCGACUUUCUGGUCUGUAACUGACACUGAGGCGCGAAAGCGUGGGGAGCAAACAGGAUUAGAUACCCCGGUAGUCA